GACGAACCGUGCGAACGUUGUUCGGAAUCACUGGGCAUAAAGGGCGCGUAGGCGGGCCGUAAAGUCAGGGGUGAAAUCCUCCAGCUUAACUGGAGAACUGCCUUUGAUACUGACGGCCUCGAGUGAGGUAGGGGCGUGCGGAACUGAUGGUGGAGCGGUGAAAUGUGUUGAUAUCAUCAGGAACUCCGGUGGCGAAGGCGGCGUUCUGGACUGUCUCUGACACUGAAGAACGAAAGCCAGGGGAGCAAACGGG
rnacentral:rRNA from 1 species